GUUGAACGCUGGCGGCAUGCCUUACACAUGCAAGUCGAACGGCAGCAUGGAGAGCUUGCUCUCUGAUGGCGAGUGGCGAACGGGUGAGUAAUGCAUCGGAACGUACCGUGUAAUGGGGGAUAACGUAGCGAAAGUUACGCUAAUACCGCAUACGACCUGAGGGUGAAGGCAGGGGAUCGCAAGACCUUGCGUUAUACGAGCGGCCGAUGUCAGAUUAGCUAGUUGGUGAGGUAAAGGCUCACCAAGGCGACGAUCUGUAGCGGGUCUGAGAGGAUGAUCCGCCACACUGGGACUGAGACACGGCCCAGACUCCUACGGGAGGCAGCAGUGGGGAAUUUUGGACAAUGGGGGCAACCCUGAUCCAGCCAUGCCGCGUGAGUGAAGAAGGCCUUCGGGUUGUAAAGCUCUUUUGUCAGGGAAGAAACACCGGCUCUAACACAGUCCGGGAAUGACGGUACCGGCAUAAGAAGCACCGGCUAACUACGUGCCAGCCGCCGCGGUAA
rnacentral:rRNA from 1 species